GACGAACGCUGGCGGCGUGCUUAACACAUGCAAGUGGAGCGACGAACCAGGCUUCGGCCUGGGGCAAAGCCGCGAACGGGUGAGUAACACGUGGGUAACCUGCCCUGAUGACCGGGACAACCCGAGGAAACUCGGGCUAAUACCGGAUGUGCUCCCACCACAUCAGUGGUGUGAGUAAAGGUAGCUUCGGCCUCCGCAUCGGGGAUGGGCCCCGCGGCGCAUUAGCUUGUUGGUGGGGUAAAGCCACCAAGGCUACGAUGCGUAGCUGGUCUGAGAGGACGAUCAGCCACACUGGGACUGAGACACGGCCCAGACUCCUACGGGAGGCAGCAGUGGGGAAUCUUGCGCAAUGCGCGAAAGCGUGACGCAGCAACGCCGC
rnacentral:rRNA from 1 species